AUACGGAGGGUGCAAGCGUUAAUCGGAAUUACUGGGCGUAAAGCGUACGUAGGCGGUUCGUUAAGUUAGAUGUGAAAGCCCCGGGCGUAAUCUGGGAACUGCAUUUAAAACUGGCGAACUAGAGUUGAGUAGAGGGGAGUGGAAUUUCAGGUGUAGCGGUGAAAUGUGUAGAGAUCUGAAGGAACACCAGUGGCGAAGGCGACUCCCUGGACUCGAACUGACGCUGAGGUACGAAAGCGUGGGUAGCAAACGGGAUUAGAAACCCUAGUAGUCC
rnacentral:rRNA from 1 species